UCCCUGAGCAUUAUUUGUGGCUAUAGAGUGGCGUUUUGGUUGAGGUUUGUUUAUGGCUCCUCAGACCGCUGUGUAUUUCUAUCCUGCGGUCGUUACUAAAGUUGGUAUAACUAGAGAAGCAAGCGGUCGACAACAUUCAUCUCUGGAGGGGGGGUCUAACUCGGUGUUACGGUGUCUUUGACCCUAAAUUAAUUUUACGCCGAGAUAUCCCUUUAA